ensembl:lncRNA
GCGGCUGCCCCUCUGUUGGUCUUCCUUGGUCUCUUGUGUUCUGGGGGGCCUCUGGAUGUCUGGAGUUUUGAUCUCCUCCAUACCUGCUUCACACCCUGGAGGACGGGGCUGUGGCUCCCCACACUCCCUAGCAGAUCGUUACAUGGAGAAACCUUUGGAAUACAAGCGCGCUGAUCCACACAGGUAUGCACACGGGUGUUCACUGCUCGUAGACCCAAAUUACACCUUUCUUGGCUGCUACUUCGAAGCACAUCUGUCCUGCGUGCUGCACGACAACAUUUAAUAUUUAGUAUUUACUGCUGUUUACACUUAGCUAGAUUAAUGCGAUGGUGUUGUGUUUAGUAUGUUGCUUUGUUUUUUGUUUUGUCUUUUUUGCUUGUUUUCUAUUCUUCUCUCAACAGGUGAUCCAGGAGAUUUUUUUUUUCUCCCCCCCUUUCUCACUGUCCCUCUCCCCUUCUGUUUUUCCUUUCCUUCCUCUUUCUUUCUCCCUUUCCUAUCUCUCACUCAUGUCUGUCCCGUCUGUAACAUCUGAAAAUAAAAUAUAAUAAAUAAUAAAAACAAAGAUCGACCAAAUGGACCAAUACGGCAAUGCCACGAUGAUCCAUUUGGCAAAGUAAAUCCAUUGGGUAUCCUUGUUGGUCUUCAGACAACAAUUCUGAUGGCUAAAGAACCAAAUGGGACAGGCAGAAAAAAAAAAAAAAAAAAAGCAGAAUGAACCCAAUUGUGAAAUUUACACUAGACAUAUGGCACACAGUAAUAGAAAAACAUCAGUUAAAAGAACAAUUAUUUUUGCUGAGAUGGUUUAGACAUGAUAAAAAAUUUAAGACAGGACAAUUGGACCAUACAUUCAAAAGGUGGGAGUUAAAAGGCAGUACAACAGUUUGUACUGUAAUGAAAAAUGGAACACUAAUGAGUUUCCAACAACUAAAAAAUAAAUACAAAUUGGAAAAUAGUGAUUUUUUUCGAUGUCUGCAAGUAAGGGAUUAUUACAUAAAGCAAAUAAAAUCUGACUGGCUCGAAAAACCAUUGGG